CUUUGCUGGCUCUUGAUAACUCAAUAACCUGACCCAGCUUUUCUUCACACUGCACACUACCCAACCCCCUUCUUGUGUCCAUUUCUAGGGAACCACCCCUCGACACAUGCACACGCACACACGCACACACCCCAUUAAGCUCCUUCUUUCCUGAUGUUCUGGCUUUCUACAUUGAUGGAGGGAAAAUGAUGCAGUUUUAACUAAACUGGGCACAUGGUAUUCCAGAAGACACUCACCCCGAAUUCAUCUCAGCCACAUGUUUCACUAAAAUCAGAAGCCUCCUCAUUUGUGGGGCGGCCACAGUCCCUGCUGACACAGGACCUGGGAUGGAGCCAAAAGGGUCAGAGACACGGAGAUGGAGGAGGGAUUUGUCUCUGGCUGCCCAACGUCAGGGCUUGGACUGGAAUCUGGGAGCCCCAACCCUACCCCUGCUUGUUUCUGGAAUAUGGCAGACAAAAACUUCCGGGCCUCAUGUUCUGCCUUUGGGCACGUGCUGAGUCUUCCCUAAUCGGAUGUUGCAGAGGAAGGCUAAUUAUUUCCUGAAGGUCUCUGUUUACUAAAGUCAGCAUCAAGCCAGAUCACAAGUAUCGGGAAAUGUUCAUAGACCAGAAUAAAGCACUGGAUAGCA
rnacentral:lncRNA from 12 species